ensembl:lncRNA
AGAGAUUCAUCUCUGGAAUACAUAGUCUUACAAUAAGGUGAUGAUGUCCAUCUGAUUCUGAGAAUUUAAAUUGAUCUACAGAUCACUUUCAAACACUGUUACACAAGCAGGAGGUAGCACUGAAGAUGCUAUUGGUUCCAUUACAGAUGACUGCAACAAAACUGACUAAAACCAGAAAAUACAGAUCCUGAAUGCUUGGACAAUGCCAAGAGCUUCAAAACUUUGAGAAUGUGGCAGAGGGAGAAAGGAAGAAAGUGGGUUUUGCUUCUAGGAAAUCCACACCCUAGAAUAGGAAACUGAAAUGAUGUCUCAGCAUGCUAUGCUACUAGAUCCCAAGGUUCAAAAGUGGGAGCUCCAGAGUUCACUCUGGACUGGGCAACUUAGAGUCGGACGUAAUCUUUCCACGUGGGAAAGCUAUUACAUGUCAGCUUACGCCUUUCUGGGCCAGUGGAGUAGGAAAUGCCUUAAGGACAGUGGCACAAACAUCCAUCCCAUGGACACAGAGGACUUAACCGAGCAGACAGCAUUGCUUUGUUCUGCACAUCAAGGCAGACAAGGAAUCUUAAACAUCUCUGUUUCUGAACACUUAUCUGUCCAUUUCUCAAAGAUUCAACUCUUGAUUGCUGCAUGAAACCAGCAAAGAGGAUCUCCAACUUGAAGGCAUCAGUAAAAAUUACCCAGGACUUGUCUUACUUUUGAGAUUGGGAAAACUGAUAUGGAGACUGGAAUUUUUGUGUCCUACAGCUGGAGCUAGCAGAAUUCUCUCCCCUCUGCAUUUCCAUCAAGUUUUAUUUACAUUCCACCUAAGCAACAUGGGUCUGGAAAGCAAUGAGUUCUGGAAAACUCCAUGGGGAUCAGAGGGAGAGUGGGGUGUUAUUGAGUAGAUU